UACGGGGGGAGCAAGCGUUGUUCGGAUUUACUGGGCGUAAAGGGCGCGUAGGCGGCCACCGCAAGUCGACUGUGAAAUCUCCGGGCUUAACCCGGAAAGGUCAGCCGAUACUGCGGGGCUAGAGUGCAGAAGGGGCAACUGGAAUUCUCGGUGUAGCGGUGAAAUGCGUAGAUAUCGAGAGGAACACCUGCGGCGAAGGCGGGUUGCUGGGCUGACACUGACGCUGAUGUGCGAAAGCUAGGGGAGCGGACGGG
rnacentral:rRNA from 1 species